rnacentral:rRNA from 1 species
GAUGAACGCUAGCGGCAGGCCUAACACAUGCAAGUCGAGGGGUAACUAGAGUGAUAGCAAUAUUACUUUGGCUAGACCGGCGCACGGGUGCGUAACACGUAUGCAACCUACCUUAUACUGGGGAAUAACUUCGAGAAAUCGGCGCUAAUACCCCAUAACAUUGCGAAGAGGCAUCUCUUUGCAAUUAAAGCUCCGGCGGUAUAAGAUGGGCAUGCGUCCAAUUAGCUAGUUGGUGAGGUAACGGCUCACCAAGGCUACGAUUGGUAGGGGUUCUGGGAGGAUAAUCCCCCACACUGGUACUGAGACACGGACCAGACUCCUACGGGAGGCAGCAGUGAGGAAUAUUGGGCAAUGGACGAAAGUCUGACGCAGCCAUGCCGCGUGCAGGAUGACGGCCCUAUGGGUUGUAAACUGCUUUUGUACGGGAAUAAACCCUUCUACGUGUAGGAGGCUGAAGGUACCGUAAGAAUAAGCACCGGCUAACUCCGUGCCAGCAGCCGCCGCGGUAA